rnacentral:rRNA from 1 species
GACGAACGCUGGCGGCGUGCCUAAUACAUGCAAGUCGACCUUAGUGGUGAACGGGUGAGUAACACGUGGGUAACCUGCGCAGCAGAAUGGGAUAACACUUGGAAACAGGUGCUAAUACCGUAUACUGAUGGAUGGACCUGGGGUGCAUUAGGUAGGUGGUGAGGUAAAGGCUCACCAAGGCAACGAUGCAUAGCCGACCUGAGAGGGUGAUCCGCCACAUUGGGACUGAGACACGGCCCAAACUCCUACGGGAGGCAGCAGUAGGGAAUAUUGGACAAUGGGCGAAAGCCUGAUCCAGCCAUGCCGCGUGUGUGAAGAAGGUCUUCGGAUUGUAAAGCACUUUAAGUUGGGAGGCGUUACCAACAGAAUAAGCACCGGCUAACUUCGUGCCAGCAGCCGCGGUAAUUC